rnacentral:rRNA from 1 species
GACGAACCGUGCGAACGUUGUUCGGAUUCACUGGGCUUAAAGGGCGCGUAGGCGGACGGUCAAGUCAGGGGUGAAAUCUUUCAGCUCAACUGGAAAAAGUGCCUCUGAUACUGAUCGUCUCGAGGGAGGUAGGGGCAUGUGGAACUUCCGGUGGAGCGGUGAAAUGCGUAGAUAUCGGAAGGAACGCCGGUGGCGAAGGCAGAUCUCUGGGCCGUAACUGACGCUGAGGAGCGAAAAGCGUGGGGAGCGAACAGG